CCCUACUUAGUUGGUAUAUAUUUUACUCUUCAUAUGUCUGUUCAUGCACUUCCUUUUGAUGAUAUUGUGCAAGAUAUUACAAAUUCAACAUCAUACAAAUUUCAAAAUUGCUUUACUAAUUAUCAUAUCAUUUAUAUAGGAAUUAUUCGAAAAACAAGAACUGUGAUCUAAUGCCUAUAGUCGAUUUUGCUCAAAGUGCAUAAAAAAAUCU
rnacentral:lncRNA from 1 species